AACAUUUGUCUUAGAAGCCUUGAAAACUCCUAACAUCAAUCCACUUCGGGAGGGGAAGAGGGGGGGGGAGGGGACAAGAUACCCUUGUAUAAUUAAAAAAAUAAUAAUAACAACACAUGAAUUAGUGUGUAUUUGUUACUUGUUAGCUAUAACUUAUAAGUUAUAACCUUGAUUUUCCUAUAAUGAUGGUUUGUAGACAAACUUACAAUAGAAAUGAUAGUAACCUUCACUUUAUAGUGGUGGUCGUUUUAAAUUGCUACUAGAACAAAUUGAUGGCUUUGAUGGUCAUCUUCAAAAAAAACAUGAGAUUAUAGUGAUGUUUUAAUUAAAAAAAACUAUAUAACAUCAUCAGUUUUUGUAAAAAAAGUUUUUGAGUUGAAUAAAUUUAACACAUUCAAAAAAAAGAAAAAAAAAAGUAGAAAAGAUUCACGGGAAGCAACCUAAAGUUCCACCGUAAUGUGUGUUAUGGUGGAUAGCAUGCCAGUCAGAGACAUAUGAAUGUCUCGUUUGAACUGUCAUCUAUGAGUGUUGUGGAGGAUAUGGAGGACCCAAGGAUAUUGAAUCUAAGAUCGUAUAUAAACUCAAAUAAAGAACUCUCUUUAUUAAUCUCUCUUAAGGAAACACUCACAAAACCUUAAGCUUCUCAAACACAAUCUCAAACUCACAAAAGGUAUGCAACAUUUUUACACCUCUUUAUAUAGAUAAUAUAUUUCCUAAACUCAUUAGUAAUAUCAUUAUCCUAAACCUAUCUCAAAUAGGAUAAACAUAACUUGUUCUCAAAGUUAACCUUCAUGUUUAUCUUCAACAUUCUCCUCUUUAAACUUGAAGUUAGCUAAAUCUUGAAUUCCAACAAGCUCUCUCAUUUAUUUGAACUUGAU
rnacentral:lncRNA from 1 species